AGCGCAGGCGGACCGGCAAGUUGGAAGUGAAAACUAUGGGCUCAACCCAUAAAUUGCUUUCAAAACUGCUGGCCUUGAGUAGUGCAGAGGUAGGUGGAAUUCCCGGUGUAGCGGUGGAAUGCGUAGAUAUCGGGAGGAACACCAGUGGCGAAGGCGACCUACUGGGCGCCAACUGACGCUGAGGCUCGAAAGCAUGGGUAGCAAACA
rnacentral:rRNA from 1 species